rnacentral:rRNA from 1 species
AUGGAGUUCUCCCGCCGCGGCCCAGCCACCGACGACCCUCCGCCGCACGGGGAGGCAAUGCUGGUGAUGAGGGACGCCCUGCUGUGGCAGCUCCAGAAGGACCGCCUUCGCCAGGAGAUCAUCGUGGCCGAGCUGGCCAAGAUAGAGUGCGCCACGGCCCUGCGCGCUGUGUCCGGUCACCACGGCACGCCAAUGCCCCGGGACAGCAUGCCGCAGCACAGAGGGCCCGUCUUCGGCUGGGAACACUACGCCGACGUGGGUGAGGAAAAUGAUGUGAAGCUACCAAGCAACUAUGGAAGGCAGAGUGCAGAGUCCAGAUUUUGGAACCCCGCCGUGGAAGAUCGCGCAGAAAAAUGCUGCAGCCCGUGCAAAUGCAGGGUUAAUUCGGGUGAACAUAACUCGGCAUUUGAUGAACAGAAACCGCGAGAUUCCAGUGAGAAUGUUCCUCCAGAUAAAGCGUCGCCUGCGGAGAAGUGGGAACUGACAGGAAUAACCAUACCAGUUAAGAAGCCGAAGCCACCCAUGAGCCCCAGAAAAAGAAAGAAGCCACCCACAAGAUGGAUUUGCCCGGUGUGCCAGGUACAAGUAAACUCUGCGCAGAAGCAUUGUGCUGGGAAGAAGCACCAGUCAAAUAUAGCAACAUUGGAAUCAAACAUUAAGGCCAUCGGUUAUCAGAAGAUUCAGAAGCCACCUUUAGCAGGUUGCAGCAUUUGUCAAGUUAUGUGUGGCAGCGAAUCAAAUCUUGAGAUCCACCUGACGGGUAAAAGGCACUUAAAGAAGAUUCAAGCUCUAUUCGAAGAAAGCAAUAACAAGGCAAUCAAUUCUGAGUCUCUAAAAGCAAACUUGAACCCAGACAGCGGGCCGCUACAUGUGGAGAAAAUGAACUGUGACUUAGACUCAGAGAACCACCUCAGAGAUGAAAGACACAAACUGAAUGUUCCAGAAAUUUCCAAAGAACAAACACCAUCCUCGGAAUGGGAUUGCACUAUGUGCCAGGCCAAAUGUGUCUCUAAAGCCCAUUUCGAGAAUCACUGCAUAAGCAGAAAGCAUCAACAGAGGACCCAGGUGAUACUCAGCGAAGGCGAUAUCACGAAAACGGGCAGGACCCAUGUGAUACUUAGCGAAGGCGAUGUCACGAAAAUGGGCAAUCUCCACAUGGAAGCAUCAUGCAAAGAAGGCAGUAACAACGAUAUGACAAAGAACAUUGCGUCACAGGAAGCAAAAUCGGAUGAGAGCAAUGUGCCAGAGCAUGCAGAGAAACCACCUUCAGCACAGAGUUGCAACAUUUGCCAAGGUAUCUGUAACUGUGCACCAGAUUUUGAUAUGCCACAACAUGUAGAGGAUAUUAGUUGCAAAUUAAACUGGGAGAGCUACCCCAGGCUCAGAGACCAGAGUCUCCAACUGAUGGAUGAUUGUGCCCUUCGUGAAAAAUUUAACCAAGAAAAAAGCAAUCCACCAGAAGUUUCCAAGGACCAAAUAUCAUCCUCAGAAUGGGACUGCGCUACAUGCCAGGCCAAAUGUAACUCUGCACCUCAAACCGAGCAUCACUGUAAAAGCGGAAAGCAUCAACAGAAGAUCGAUGUGACACUCCAUGAAGGCGAUAUUGCCGAGGUUAGCAGUCUCAGUGCAGCCCCAUGCAAAGAAGACAAUAACAGUCAUAUGGACGUUACGCCAUGGGAAGCAAAAUCGGAUGAGUGCAUUGUGUCGCAGCAUGUAGAGAAGCCACCUUCAGUAUGGAGUUGCAGCGAUUGCCAAGUUAUCUGUGCCCGCGAAUCAGAUUUUGAGGUCCACCUGAAGCGUGAAAGGCACUUGAUGAAGAUUGGAGCCCUGCUCGAAGUAAGUAAGAACAUGGCAAUUUCCGAGUCACAGAAAGCAAACCUGUACCCGGACAGUGUGCCGCAGCAUGCGGAGAAAAUGAAUUGUGAAUUAGACUUGGAGAACAACCUCAGAGAUGAGAGACACCAACUGAAUGUUCGCUCCCCUUGCAAAGAAAACAACCAAAUGAAAAACAAUCCUCCACAAAUUGUCAAGGACCAAGAACCACCCUCAGAAUGGGAUUGCGCUAUGUGUAAGGACAAAUGUAACUCUGAACCUCAGAUUGAGCAUCAUUGUGAAAGCAGAAGGCAUCAACAGAAGACCGAUGUGACGCUCCGUGAAUGCGAUAUUGCGAUAGUGAACAGUCUCCACAUCACAGCCUUAUGCAAGGAAGGCGAUAACAACAGCACGGGCAUUACACCACAGGAAGCAAAAUCAGACGAGAACAAUGUGCAGCAGCAUGCAGAGAAGCCACCUCCGGCAUGGGAUUGCAGCGAUUGUCUAGUUACGUUUAAUCGCGAAUCAGAUUUGAUGUUCCACCUGAACGGUAAAAGACACUUAAAGAAGUUUUGGGCCCUACUCGAAGAAAGCAAGAAUAAGGCAAUGAAUUCUGAGUCACAGACAGCAAACAUGAACCAGGACAGUGUGCCACAGCAUGCGGAGAAAACAAAUUGCGAACUGAACUGGGAGAGCUACCUCAGACUCAGAGACGAGAAACACCAACUCAAUGUUCAGGCCUGUGAAGCAAUCAACAAAGAUAAAAACAGUCCAGCAAAAAAGGACCAAAUACCGUCCUCGGAAUGGGACUGCGCUAUGUGCCAGGCCAAAUGUAACUCUAAAGCUCAACUUGAGCAUCACUGCACAAGCAGAAAGCAUUGGCAGAAGACCCAGGUUGUACUUGGCGAAGGUGAUAUUGCAAAUGUAAGCAGUCUUUGCCUCGAAGCCCCAUGCAAAGAAGUCAGUAACAACGAUAUGGCGAAGAACAUUGUGUCACAGGAAGCAAAGUUGCAUGAGAAAAAUGUGCUAAAGCAUGCAGAGAAGCCACCUUUAGUAGGUUGCAGCAUUUGCCAAGUUAUCUGUGGCCGCGAAUCAGAUCUAGAGAUCCACCUGAAGGGUAAAAGGCACUUGAAGAUUCGAACUCUUUUCGAAGAAAGCAAUAAGGCUAUCAAUUCUGAGUCUCUGAAAGCAAACUUGAACUCGGACAGCGGGCCGCUACAUGUGGAGAAAAUGAACUGUGAUAUUACCGAAGUUAGCAGUCUCAUUGCAGCCCCAUGCAAAGAAGGCAAUAAUAGCCAUAUGGGCAUUGCGCCACGGGAAGCAAAAUCAGACGAGAGCAAUGUGUCGCAGCAUGCAGAGAAGCCACCUUCAGUAUGGGGUUGCAGUGAUUGCCAAGUUAUCUGUGGUCGCGAAUCAGAUUUUGAGGUCCACCUGAAGGGUGAAAGGCACUUAAAGAAGAUUGGAGCCCUGCUCGAAGAAAGCAAGACCAUGGCGAUAUCCGAGUCACAGAAAGCAAACUUGUACCCGGACAGCGUGCUGCAGCAUGCGGAGAAAAUGAAUUGUGAAUUAGACUUGGAGAACAACCUCAGAGAUGAGGGACACCAACUAAAUGUUCGCUCCCCUUGCAAAGAAAACAGCCAAAUGAAAAACAAUCCUCCAGAAAUUGUCAACGACCAAGAACCACCCUCAGAAUGGGAUUGUGCUAUGUGUCAGGAAAAAUGUAACUCUGAAUCUCAGAUUGAGCAUCAUUGUGAAAGCAGAAGGAAUCAAGAGAAGACCCACGUGAUACUCCGCAAAGGCGAUAUUGCGAUAGUGAACAGUCUCCACAUCACAGCCUCAUGCAAGGAAGGCGAUAACAGCACGGGCAUUACACCACAGGAAGCAAAAUUAGACGAAAACAAUGUGCAGCAGCAUGCAGAGAAGCCACCUCCGGCAUGGGAUUGCAGCGUUUGCCAACUUACGUGUAACCGCGAAUCGGAUUUGGUGUUCCACCUAAACGGUAAAAGGCACUUAAAGAAGUUUCGGGCCCUACUCGAAGAAAGCAAGAAUAAGGCAAUGAAUUCUGAGUCACAGACAAUAAACUGGAACCAGGACAGUGUGCCGCAACAUGCGGAUAAAACAAAUUGCAAACCAAACUGGGAGAGCUACCUUGGACUCGGAGACGAGACACACCAACUCAAUGUUCAGGCCAUCGGCGAAGCAAUCAACCAAGAUAAAAACAGUCCGUCAAAAAAAGACCAGAUACUGCCCUCAGAAUGGAACUGCGCUAUGUGCCAGGCCAAAUGUAACUCAAAAGCUCAAUUUGAGCAUCACUGCACAAGCAGAAAGCAUCAGCAGAAGAUCCAGGUUAUACUUGGCGAAGGUGGUAUUGCAAAAGUAAGCAGUCUCCACAUGGAAGCAUCAUGCAAAGAAGGCAGUAACAACGAUAUGGUGAACAGCGUUGUGUCACAGGAUGCAAAAUCGCCUGAGAAAAAUGUGCCACAGCAUGCAGAGAAGCCACCUAUAGUAGGUUGCAGCAUUUGCCGAGUUAUCUGUGGCCGCGAAUCAGACCUAGAGGUCCACCUGAAGGGUAAAAGGCACUUAAAGAAGAUUCGAGCUCUAUUCGAAGAAAGCAAUAAGGCAAUCAAUUCUGAGUCUCUGAAAGCAAACUUGAACCUGGACAGCGGGCCGCUUAAUGUGAAGAAAAUGAAUUGUGACUUAGACUCGGAGAACCACCUCAGAGAUGAAAGACACCAAGAGGAAAACAGUCCACCAGAAAUUUCCCAAGACCAAACACCAUCCUCGGAAUGGGAUUGUGUUAUGUGCCAGGCCAAAUGCAUCUCUAAAGCCCAUUUCGAGAAUCACUGCAUAAGCAGAAAGCAUCAACGGAGGACCCAGGUGAUACAAAGCGAAGGUGAUAUCACGAAAACGGGCAGGACCCAUGUGGUACUCAGCGAAGGCGAUAUCACGAAAAUGGGCAAUCUCCACAUGGAAGCGUCAUGCAAAGAAGGUGGUAACAACGAUAUGGCAAAGGACUUUGGGUCACAGGAAGUAAAAUCGCAUGAGAGCGAUGUGCCAGAGCAGGAGUCACCUUCAGUACAGGGUUGCAGCAUUUGCCAAGGUAUCUGUAACUGCAAAUCAGACUUAGAUAUCCACCUGAUGAGUACAAGAAUCCGAGCUGUCGCAGAAAAAUGCAAGAACACGGCAAUGAGUUCUGAGUCACAGAAAGCAAAGUUGAAUCCAAAUGACGUGCCACAACAUGUAGAGGAAACGAGUUGCAAAUUAAACUGGGAGAGCUACCCCAGACUCGGAAACGAGAAUCUCCAACUGAUGGAUGAUCAGGCCCUUUUUGAAAAAAUCAACCAAGAUAAUAACAAUGCACCAGAAAUUGCCAAGGACCAAAUACCAUCCUCAGAAUGGCAUUGCGCUACAUGCCAGGCCAAAUGUAAUUCUAGGGCUCAAUUUGAGAAUCACUGCAUGAGCAGAAAGCAUCAAAGGAAGGCCCAGGUGAUGCUUGCCAGAGGCAAUUUGUCGUAA